rnacentral:tRNA from 1 species
GGUAAAAUGGUCUAAUGAAGGAUAUAGGGUUCAUGCCCCUAAGGUGCCGUUAAUAAUGGCUUUUAUCU